UGUGAAUUUAUCUAACUGCAGAGGAUUUCUAAAAAACUCAUCUGAUUGAAGAGGACAUGUAGAAACUUCCUUUGGGCCAUAGGGUGUGUCUAUGGCUGAAAGGCAGUGACGGACCUGGAGUGGGAGUCCUCACUGCCUUUGAAUGGAACCUGGACCCAGGACCCUCCCUAGUGUUCCUGCUGAAGAUGCCGCCUUGUUUGGGAGGUGAGGUCCUGUGGAAUCGGGCCCUGGUAUUCCACUGAAGCCCUUCAGCAUUGGGCAGAAGGAUACAAAAUCAAAUUAGACCUUCAAAUCUGGAAGUGAAAGACAGAUUUCUUCUUUGACUCCAAUCAAUAUAUUUCAACCAACAUUUACACAAGAGAAUUUGAUCCGCAUAUUACUGUGGUGAGUUUCACAGACAGAGAAUCCUCGUUUUGUGUGAGGACAUGCCAUACUUUCAACAUUAAAAAUAAAAAUGUCUUAUAUUUCUCUCGUUUUAGCUUUAAGUCUAUAUACGCUACGUGCAUGUGUACAUGCUGUGUCACUUCAAUCGUGUCCAACUCAUUGCAACCCUAUCAACUGCAGCCUGCCAGGCUGCUCCAUAUAAUACCAUUAAGUAUAUAUGCUUAAUAAACUUCUGGGAUAAAAACAUAUUUAGGCAUUUUUAUAUGCAUUUUUAUAUUUAUGUAAUUCAUGAC
ensembl:lncRNA